rnacentral:misc_RNA from 1 species
GCCUGUUCGAGCGUCAUUAUGACCACUCAAGCCUAGCUUGGUAUUGGGGUUCGCGGUCCCGCGGCUCUUAAAAUCAGUGGCGGUGCCGUCUGGCUCUAAGCGUAGUAAUUUUCUCGCUAUGGAGUCCGGGUGGUUACUUGCCAAAACCCCAACUUCUCACGGUUGACCUCGGAUCAGGUAGGGAUACCCGCUGAACUUAA